rnacentral:rRNA from 1 species
CAAGUCGAGCGGAAACGAGUUAACUGAACCUUCGGGGAACGUUAACGGCGUCGAGCGGCGGACGGGUGAGUAAUGCCUGGGAAAUUGCCCUGAUGUGGGGGAUAACCAUUGGAAACGAUGGCUAAUACCGCAUAAUAGCUUCGGCUCAAAGAGGGGGACCUUCGGGCCUCUCGCGUCAGGAUAUGCCCAGGUGGGAUUAGCUAGUUGGUGAGGUAAUGGCUCACCAAGGCGACGAUCCCUAGCUGGUCUGAGAGGAUGAUCAGCCACACUGGAACUGAGACACGGUCCAGACUCCUACGGGAGGCACUACUGGGGAAUAUUGCACAAUGGGCGCAAGCCUGAUGCAGCCAUGCC